GGGGCCCACGUGUGUCCCUGCCCAAGACCCCUGCGGCUUGGCGCCCCUCGGCUCCAUGACCCGAAACACCCCAGCGUCCGCGCCCCGCCCCAGGCAGCUGGUCCCGUUUGCCCUUCCUGCAGUCCCCGCAGUCCCCGCAGUCCCCACAGCCUCGGCCAGCGGCCACGUAUCGCCAUGGUGAUCGUGGGCAACUACUGCGAGGCCGAGGGGCCUUUGGGGCCGGCCUGGGUGCAGGGUGGCUUGAGUCCCUGCUUCUUCUUCACUCUUAUGCCCUCGACACUGAUGGCCCUUGGGGCUCUGGCCUUGGUGCUAGCCCUGCCUUGCAAGCGCCGAGAACGGCCUGCUGGCGCCCGCGAGGUGUCUUGGAGCUCCGGGCCUCUUGUCGCUCCCUACGUACUGCAGCUGCUUCUGGCCACACUUCAGGUGGCCCUGCCCCUAGCCAGCCUGGUUGGCCAGGUGGGCACUGCGGGGGGCGCCCCGCUGCCAGGCUACCUACUGCUGGCUUCCAUACUGGGGACUCUGGCCAGCGCCUGUGGCCUGGGGCUGCUCGUGGUGGAACGUAACCAGGCCUGGCAGAAGCUAGCUAUGGGCAUCUGGAUCGAGUUCAGGCACAGCUCGGGUCUCCUGCUCCUCUGGACUGUGGCAUUUACAGCUGAGAACUUGGCCCUUGUGUCUUGGAACAGCCCACUGUGGUGGUGGGCACGGGCAGACUUGGGCCAGCAGGUUCAGUUUAGCCUGUGGGUGCUGCGGUAUGUGGUCUCUGGAGGGCUUUUUAUCCUGGGACUCUGGGCCCCUGGACUUCGUCCCCAGUCCUAUGCCUUGAAAAUUAAUGAAGACGAUCAGGAUGUAGAGAGGAGCGAGGUUCAGUCAGCAGAGGCACCACCACGAUCUACAUGGCAAGACCUGGGCAGGAAGCUCCGCCUACUGAGUGGCUACCUGUGGCCUCAAGGGAGCCCAGUUCUGCAGUUCAUUGUGCUCAUCUGCCUGGGGCUCAUGGGCUUGGAACGGGGACUGAACGUGUUGGUCCCCAUCUUCUAUAGGGACAUAGUGAACUUGCUGACUGAGAAGGCCCCUUGGAGCUCCCUGGCCUGGACCGUUACCGUCUAUGUCAUCCUCAAGUUCCUCCAGGGGGGUGGCACAGGCAGUACAGGCUUCGUGAGCAACCUGCGCACGUUCCUGUGGAUUCGGGUGCAGCAGUUCACGUCACGGCAGGUGGAGCUGCGCCUUUUCUCCCACCUGCACGAGCUGUCCCUGCGCUGGCACCUGGGGCGCCGCACCGGGGAGGUGCUGCGGAUUGUGGACCGGGGCACGUCCAGCGUCACGGGGCUGCUCAGCUACCUGGUGUUCAACAUCCUCCCCACACUGGCUGACAUCACCAUCGGCAUCAUCUACUUCAGCAUGUUCUUCAACGCCUGGUUUGGCCUCAUUGUGUUCCUCUGCAUGAGUCUUUACCUCAUUGUGACCAUUGUGGUCACCGAGUGGAGAACGAAGUUUCGACGUGCCAUGAACACACAGGAGAAUGCCACCCGGGCCCGAGCUGUGGAUUCUUUGUUAAACUUUGAGACGGUGAAGUAUUACAAUGCGGAGGGUUACGAAGUGGACCGCUAUCGAGAGGCCAUCCUCAAGUACCAGGAUCUGGAGUGGAAGUCAACAGCUUCAUUGGUUCUACUGAAUCAGACCCAGAACCUGGUGAUAGGGCUGGGGCUCCUCGCUGGCUCCCUGCUUUGUGCGUACUUUGUCAGCGAGCAGAAGCUACAGGUUGGGGACUUUGUGCUGUUCGGCACCUACAUUAUCCAGCUGUACAUGCCGCUCAACUGGUUCGGCACCUACUACAGGAUGAUCCAGACAAACUUCAUCGACAUGGAGAACAUGUUUGACCUGCUGAAAGAGAAGGCAGAAGUGAAGGACCUGCCUGGAGCAGGGCCCCUGCGCUUCCAGAGGGGCCAGAUUGAGUUUGAGAACGUUCACUUCAGCUACUCCAGUGGGCGAGAGACCCUGCAGGACGUGUCCUUCACCGUCAUGCCUGGACAGACACUGGCCCUGGUGGGCCCAUCGGGAGCUGGGAAGAGCACAGUGUUGCGCCUGCUGUUUCGCUUCUACGACAUCAGCUCCGGCUGCAUCCGAAUCGAUGGGCAGGACAUCUCCCAGGUGACCCAGAUCUCCCUCCGGUCACACAUUGGAGUCGUGCCCCAGGACACCGUCCUCUUCAACGACACCGUUGCCAACAACAUCCGCUAUGGCUGCGUCACUGCUGGGGAUGAGGAGGUGAUGGCGGCUGCUCAGGCUGCCGGCAUCCAUGAGGCCAUCCUGAAUUUCCCUGAAGAAACCAAAUGUAGCCUGUGUGACUUGAGGGAGGUGGGCGAUGUUCACAGGAUACGAGACGCAGGUGGGUGAGCGGGGACUCAAGCUGAGUGGGGGAGAGAAGCAGCGCAUUGCCAUUGCUCGCACCAUCCUCAAGGCUCCAGACAUCAUUCUGCUGGAUGAGGCAACAUCCGCACUGGAUACAUCUAAUGAGAGAGCCAUCCAGGCUUCUCUGGCCAAAGUCUGCGCCAAUCGCACCACCAUCGUAGUGGCACACAGGCUCUCAACUGUGGUCGACGCUGACCAGAUCCUUGUCUUUAAGGAUGGCUGCAUUGUGGAGCGAGGACGGCACGAGGCUCUGUUGUCUCGAGGCGGCAUGUACGCAGACAUGUGGCAGCUGCAGCAGCGGGGACAAGAAGAAGUUUCUGAGGACACCAGACCCCCAGAGUGAGGCCAGUGACUAAAGCUGCGGCCACGUCCCUCCCAAAGGAGAACUCAGAGGGGAAGAAGAUGUAUCCCUUCUCCCGGCACAUUUCAUCCCAGUGAAGGGAUAUGGUGCUAGCCAUAGCAGAGGAAAAGAACCUUUCAGAAAAGCACUUUUUGGGGAAAUAAAAGUGUGGACCAUGCUA